ACGGCCAUACCAUACUGAAUAUACCGGUUCUCGUUAGAUCACCGAAGUCAAGCAUUAUUGCGCGGUACUUGGGUGUGACCACCUCGAAACACCGCGUGCCGUUG